CCCGUUUUCUAGAAACAAUAAUAUCAACAGUCCACCAGCAUUAUACCACACUCCAAGGCCAAUAGCUUCCCACCGACCAUCCAGGCCCAAUCCCUCACACCCCUUAUAUUCCCUUAACCCGAAACAACCAUAUCAGCAACAAUAAAUAACCGCGAUAGCAACAACUUCAACAACAAUGACUGCAACCCCAACAUCGAAUGACUAAUCCCGUACAAACGUAAUGCAAUGCACCGCCUUAAAAACUCUUUCUUUUAACGUCAGUGCAUGUCCAGCAUGAGAUACGAACCUCAAAGGUUCUAGAGGCUACUACGUAUAGCAUUUUGAUUAGUCCCUUUUUUCUGAAAAAUUCUAAAAUUCGUACCAAAUCAUACAGUCCAGUUCAUAGCCUUAUCCUUUAAGGAUUUUAGAAUUUUGCAAAGUCCCACAUGCUCAAAUUUCAUUUAGUUUUGUUCCUAUAUACCCUCACUAUUAGUCGAUGAAGGUUAAUAAUGUUCUAAAGCAAGAACCCCAAUAUAAGUAAGGGAUUUGGCUAAAUAACAAGGUUUUUUUCCAAUGAAAAGGGCUAAAAAGUUCUCUUUAUUCGGUUAGGAUAUUGGAAUUCAGUUUCCAGCCUUAGAGUAGUGAGAAUUCCAGCUCAAUUUUUAUUUUCUUAUCGUUCUCGAAUCAAGUAGAGCAGUGAAGUCGUUAAUCAACUUCUUGUUCCAGUUGGCUUAAAAAAAAAGUUAAACGCUUCUUCCACUUUUAGUUUGUUUUUUAAAAUUAACUUUGGGUAUGGCCCUUUUAUUUAUUAAAAAUAAAUUUGUACAAGAAAAGACUCAAGUGAGCCCAAACGAAAAGGGACUAAAAAGGAAAUAAGCCCAUAACAUUGUGGCUGAAGACCCGACAACCUUGUCCUAAGUUGAAAGCUUCCAACAAUCUUCCGCAAAUGGCGUCGCUUGAGCAACACCACAUUUACUCUGCUUCGAUUGUGGGUUAUCAACCUUGUUGGUAAUCUUCCCAAGAUGGAGCUUGUCUUGUUUAACUCACAAAGAUGUGAUGGAAGAGGGAGGACUAUGGUUGUUUUUACUGAGAUGCUGAGUCACUGCCACCAAUGAAUUUAUUACUUGUGAGUAGCUAGCAUUAUAGAUCUCUUCCUUUCCUUUUUCUUGAGAACAUCUCCUUGAGCAAGAUGCCCAUAUGCUCCUUUUCAAGAUUAUCUUCAUCAGUGGCUGCACAUAAUCUUCCCAACUGACUCCAUGACCCUCAUUUUUUUUUGGUGACCCUUUUUGUAAGAUGACAUAGCAUAGGCUAGGUAGCUUAAGUCUCAUAGGUAUGUGAGCCUUAGGAUGGCAAGACUCUCUGUACAUAUCAUAUCUGUGAGCCUGCAGUAUUUUGGAUCUGUAUCUAAUAAUGACUGCUGUUGUUUAUCUUCUUUGUUUUUAUCCUCA